rnacentral:rRNA from 1 species
GUGGGGAAUAUUGGACAAUGGGCGCAAGCCUGAUCCAGCAAUGCCGCGUGGGUGAAGAAGGUCUUCGGAUCGUAAAGCCCUUUCGACAGGGACGAUGAUGACGGAACCUGUAGAAGAAGCCCCGGCUAACUUCGUGCCAGCAGCCGCGGUAAUACGAAGGGGGCUAGCGUUACUCGGAAUUACUGGGCGUAAAGGGCGCGUAGGCGGCUCUGUUAGUCAGGCGUGAAAUUCCUGGGCUUAACCUGGGGACUGCGCUUGAUACUGCAGGGCUUGAGGCCGAGAGAGGGGGGUGGAAUUCCCAGUGUAGAGGUGAAAUUCGUAGAUAUUGGGAAGAACACCGGUGGCGAAGGCGACCACCUGGCUCGGUUCUGACGCUGAGGCGCGACAGCGUGGGGAGCAAACAGGAUUAGAAACCCUAGUAGUCC